UACGGAGGGUGCGAGCGUUGUCCGGAAUCACUGGGCGUAAAGGGCGCGUAGGCGGCUCGGUAAGUAGGGGGUGAAAUCCUGCGGCUUAACCGCAGGGCUGCCUUCUAAACUGUCGAGCUCGAGCACGGUAGAGGCAGAUGGAAUUCCCGGUGUAGCGGUGGAAUGCGUAGAGAUCGGGAAGAACAUCAGUGGCGAAGGCGGUCUGCUGGGCCGUUGCUGACGCUGAUGCACGAAAGCGUGGGGAGCAAACAGG
rnacentral:rRNA from 1 species